CAGAGGUCGUCAACCAGAGAAUCUGGCACCAGCUUUUUGGUACUUACCUGGAUAACCAGGCGAGGUAACCAGGUAACCAGGUGAAAACACCAGAUGUUACCCAGAGGGGUGUGGAAGUCCUCUGGUUCUUGGUCUUCUUGGAUUCAGUCAAGAGAUGCGCAGAAAGAGUUAAAGGGUAAAUGCCCUUCAUUUAAAGAGACAGGAGCUCAGAAAGAAGCGACACCCUGAACGACAGAACCGAGUGGGCUCCUGAAAAGAAGGAGUCUGUCCUUACUUAUGCUGGCCUGACCCUUUUAAUGAGAACCUGACAUGAUUAUUCAUGAAGGGGCCGUGCACAGCC
rnacentral:lncRNA from 1 species